rnacentral:rRNA from 1 species
AGUUCGGAUUGUAGUCUGCAACCGACUACAUGAAGCUGGAAUCGCUAGUAAUCGCAGAUCAGAAUGCUGCGGUGAAUACGUUCCCGGGUCUUGUACACACCGCCCGUCACACCAUGGGAGUUGGAAAUGCCCGAAGUCGGUGACCUAACCGAAAGGGAGGAGCCGCCGAAGGCAGGUCUGAUAACUGGGGUGAAGUCGUAACAAGGUACC